GACAUUUGGGCUUGCCACGGAACCAACAAUAUUUUUCUAGAUGGUUUGUAUUUUUACACACCUGGUAGGGAGGAUAGUUUUUCCUCUCUUUCAUUUUUUUUUUUUAAAAAAAAAAAUUUCCCUAAUAAGAUUGGAUUUAUAAUCUUCUCCUCUAGAACUUUCUCCAAAUUUUUUUUUUUUUACCUUCUUUAGUAUUCUGAGACCUUAAAUUAAGUUUUGAUUGAAAGGCGCUUUCAACUGAAUUUUCAUAUCGCCUACUCAAUCUUUUAUCAUGCUUCAAGAGAGCCCAUUAGUUAUGUCACAGACUAGUUAA
rnacentral:lncRNA from 1 species